rnacentral:lncRNA from 1 species
CACAGACUGUGGGGAUUAUGAUGGGCUGCAUCUUAUGUAAUUGUGGGAUGUGGUGAGGCUCCAGUCACUGUAGGUCAGCAGGACCUGUGGCUGGGAAGAAAAGCUGGACAGAAAGUGGUGACCGCAAGGACAAGUUGAAAUCCGUGAGGACAUACUGGAACCCGUAGAGACAAAUGGGAACCUGUGAGCACAAAUUGGUACUGUUUCUGUCUCUCACUGCCUGCAAGUUUGAUGGCAUGGGUGAUCUGAAGAAGGAGUGACACCUUAGGCCACAUUUCUGAACAGGACUUGGCCUAAGACUUGAAGAGACAGGAGGAGCUGGAGGAGAGGGGGUCCAAGUGGCUGCCCUUCCCAGCAAGAAGAGCCAGUGGGUCAGUGACAAUAUGCCCCAGCUCUGAUUGUAAGCUACUUGCCUAUCAUCUGUAGCCUAGGCAAUGAUGAAGGAAAUGAAGAAAGGAUGGAAAAAAGGAAAGAAGAAGGGAUAGAAGGAGGAAAAAAAGAAAGAGAAGGGGAAAAGGAUAGAAGAAGGAAACACCUUUAUAGCAGCAUGCUGUGGAAAAUUACAACUUGAAUAAAAUCAAAUGAGAUAAUGAUAUAUUUGAAUGUACCAAUCAUUCUACCAACAUGCAAACUAUUAAUACUAUGCAGUCUAUGCCAAGUGCAAUGCUUCAAAAAAAGGCAUGACUCAUAGGACUGGAUGG